rnacentral:rRNA from 1 species
ACGUAUGGGCGAGCCUGAUGCAGCGACGCCGCGUGAGGGAUGACGGCCUUCGGGUUGUAAACCUCUUUCAGUAGGGAAGAAGCGAAAGUGACGGUACCUGCAGAAGAAGCGCCGGCUAACUACGUGCCAGCAGCCGCGGUAAUACGUAGGGCGCAAGCGUUAUCCGGAAUUAUUGGGCGUAAAGAGCUCGUAGGCGGUUUGUCGCGUCUGCUGUGAAAGACCGGGGCUCAACUCCGGUUCUGCAGUGGGUACGGGCAGACUAGAGUGCAGUAGGGGAGACUGGAAUUCCUGGUGUAGCGGUGAAAUGCGCAGAUAUCAGGAGGAACACCGAUGGCGAAGGCAGGUCUCUGGGCUGUAACUGACGCUGAGGAGCGAAAGCAUGGGGAGCGAACAGGAUUAGAUACCCUGGUAGUCCAUGCCGUAAACGUUGGGCACUAGGUGUGGGGGACAUUCCACGUUUUCCGCGCCGUAGCUAACGCAUUAAGUGCCCCGCCUGGGGAGUACGGCCGCAAGGCUAAAACUCAAAGGAAAUUGACGGA